CGGACGGGUGAGUAACGCGUGGGUAACCUGCCUCAUACAGGGGGAUAACAGUUAGAAAUGACUGCUGAUACCGCAUAAGACCACAGCACCGCAUGGUGCAGGGGUAAAAACUCCGGUGGUAUGAGAUGGACCCGCGUCUGAUUAGGUAGUUGGUGGGGUAACGGCUUACCAAGCCGACGAUCAGUAGCCGACCUGAGAGGGUGACCGGCCACAUUGGGACUGAGACACGGCCCAA
rnacentral:rRNA from 1 species